rnacentral:rRNA from 1 species
UGAUCCUGGCUCAGGAUGAACGCUGGCGGCGUGCCUAACACAUGCAAGUCGAGCGAGAAGUAAAGAAAUGAAGCUUCGGUAGAUUUUCAUUAUGGAAAGCGGCGGACGGGUGAGUAACGCGUAGGCAACCUGCCCUGUACAGGGGGAUAGCCACCCGAAAAGGUGAUUAAUACCCCAUGAUGCAAGAGAUACACAUGUAUCACUUGUCAAAGAUUUAUCGGUAUGGGAUGGGCCUGCGUCUGAUUAGCUAGUUGGUAGGGUAACGGCUUACCAAGGCAACGAUCAGUAGCCGACCUGAGAGGGUGAUCGGCCACAUUGGAACUGAGACACGGUCCAAACUCCUACGGGAGGCAGCAGUGGGGAAUAUUGCACAAUGGGGGAAACCCUGAUGCAGCAACGCCGCGUGAAGGAAGAAGGCCUUCGGGUUGUAAACUUCUGUCCUAGGGGAAGAAACAAAUGACAUUACCCUUGGAGGAAGCCCCGGCUAACUACGUGCCAGCAGCCGCGGUAAUACGUAGGGGGCGAGCGUUAUCCGGAAUUAUUGGGCGUAAAGAGUGCGUAGGUGGCAUCUUAAGCGCAGGGUUUAAGGCAAUGGCUCAACCAUUGUUCGCCUUGCGAACUGGGGUGCUUGAGUGCAGGAGGGGAAAGUGGAAUUCCUAGUGUAGCGGUGAAAUGCGUAGAUAUUAGGAGGAACACCAGUGGCGAAGGCGACUUUCUGGACUGUUACUGACACUGAGGCACGAAAGCGUGGGGAGCAAACAGGAUUAGAUACCCUGGUAGUCCACGCCGUAAACGAUGAGCACUAGGUGUCGGGGUCGCAAGACUUCGGUGCCGCAGUUAACGCAUUAAGUGCUCCGCCUGGGGAGUACGCACGCAAGUGUAAAACUCAAAGGAAUUGACGGGGACCCGCACAAGCAGCGGAGCAUGUGGUUUAAUUCGAAGCAACGCGAAGAACCUUACCAGGACUUGACAUCCUCUUGACAGAUUCUUAAUCGGAUUCUUCUUCGGACAAGAGAGACAGGUGGUGCAUGGUUGUCGUCAGCUCGUGUCGUGAGAUGUUGGGUUAAGUCCC